rnacentral:rRNA from 1 species
AGAGUUUGAUCCUGGCUCAGAAUGAACGCUGGCGGCGCGCCUAACACAUGCAAGUCGAACGGCACCUAUCUUCGGAUAGAAGCGAGUGGCGAACGGCUGAGUAACACGUGGAGAACCUGCCCCCUCCCCCGGGAUAGCCGCCCGAAAGGACGGGUAAUACCGGAUACCCCCGGGCGCCGCAUGGCGCCCGGGCUAAAGCCCCGACGGGAGGGGAUGGCUCCGCGGCCCAUCAGGUAGACGGCGGGGUGACGGCCCACCGUGCCGACAACGGGUAGCCGGGUUGAGAGACCGACCGGCCAGAUUGGGACUGAGACACGGCCCAGACUCCUACGGGAGGCAGCAGUGGGGAAUCUUGCGCAAUGGGGGGAACCCUGACGCAGCGACGCCGCGUGCGGGACGGAGGCCUUCGGGUCGUAAACCGCUUUCAGCAGGGAAGAGUCAAGACUGUACCUGCAGAAGAAGCCCCGGCUAACUACGUGCCAGCAGCCGCGGUAAUACGUAGGGGGCGAGCGUUAUCCGGAUUCAUUGGGCGUAAAGCGCGCGUAGGCGGCCCGGCAGGCCGGGGGUCGAAGCGGGGGGCUCAACCCCCCGAAGCCCCCGGAACCUCCGCGGCUUGGGUCCGGUAGGGGAGGGUGGAACACCCGGUGUAGCGGUGGAAUGCGCAGAUAUCGGGUGGAACACCGGUGGCGAAGGCGGCCCUCUGGGCCGAGACCGACGCUGAGGCGCGAAAGCUGGGGGAGCGAACAGGAUUAGAUACCCUGGUAGUCCCAGCCGUAAACGAUGGACGUUAGGUUGGGGGGGACGAUCCCCCCGUGCCGCAGCCAACGCAUUAAAGCGUCCCGCCUGGGGAGUACGGCCGCAAGGCUAAAACUCAAAGGAAUUGACGGGGGCCCGCACAAGCAGCGGAGCAUGUGGUUUAAUUCGAAGCAACGCGAAGAACCUUACCAGGGCUUGACAUAUGGGUGAAGCGGGGGAGACCCCGUGGCCGAGAGGAGCCCAUACAGGUGGUGCAUGGCUGUCGUCAGCUCGUGUCGUGAGAUGUUGGGUUAAGUCCCGCAACGAGCGCAACCCCCGCCGCGUGUUGCCAUCGGGUGAUGCCGGGAACCCACGCGGGACCGCCGCCGUCAAGGCGGAGGAGGGCGGGGACGACGUCAAGUCAUCAUGCCCCUUAUGCCCUGGGCUGCACACGUGCUACAAUGGCCGGUACAGAGGGGUGCCACCCCGCGAGGGGGAGCGGAUCCCGGAAAGCCGGCCCCAGUUCGGAUUGGGGGCUGCAACCCGCCCCCAUGAAGUCGGAGUUGCUAGUAAUCGCGGAUCAGCAUGCCGCGGUGAAUGCGUUCCCGGGCCUUGUACACACCGCCCGUCA